GAUGUCAAAAUCAUCUGAUCUGUGGAAAUGUACGUACCGAUGUAUUAAAUAUUUAUAAAUUUCAUCCUGGUAUUAUUAUUUUUAUUAUAUAUAUAUAUAUAUAUAUAUAUAUAUAUAUAUAUAUAUAUAUAUAUAUGUGUGUGUGUGUGUGUGU